UUUAUGCCAAUCCCUAAAUUCUUGAAAACAUGAGUUUACAAUGAAAACACUAACAGAUGCUCAGUGGUAGAAAGCAGAGGAGUGGUUGCCAUGGAAUCAGAUGGCAGGGAAGGUAGCUCACUUUUUAAACUCACUGGCAGCGAACACGUAGCACCAACAAGUGGACAGCAAUGCUGGCAGACAUUUAUCUCUGCACAGCACUUGGAAGGGCUGCGUGGAGGCUACUGCUGUGACCCAGCACUGGAAACUGGGAUAACCAGGGAAAAGCUGAGCAUCAGCAGCUCUACAGACAUUGACAACAGAAAGACCUAAAAAAUGCAAGGAAAUGCAGAAUAAGUUGAAGCGAGGAAACAAAAAGGGCAGGAUGAGGCAGGAAACUGCUGCCAGCUGUUGAUAUUCUGCCUUUGCUUUGAAACUCUGUGUAGAGGAAACAGCAAGAAGAAAAACUGCUUGCAGUUGGAGUUUUGGGGACUGAAAU
rnacentral:lncRNA from 1 species